rnacentral:rRNA from 1 species
UAUGCCCGAGCAGGAUGAAGCCAGAGGAAACUCUGGUGGAGGUCCGCAGCGAUUCUGACGUGCAAAUCGAUCGCCCGACUUGGGUAUAGGGGCGAAAGACUAAUCGAACCAUCUA